rnacentral:lncRNA from 1 species
CUUCAUUAGCUGUGGGAUGUGGGCUCAGCAAUUGUGGUGCACGAGUUUAGUUGCUUCCUGGCAUGUGGGAUCUUUCCAGAUCAGAGAUGGAACCUGUGUCCCCUGCACUGGCAGACAGAUUCUUAAUCACGGGACCAUCAGGGAAGUCUAGCCUCAUUGUGUUGGAUUCCUGCAACAUGGGAAAGGUCUUGGAUGGAUGAUUUUACUACUGAAAAGCUGUAUUACAAGUCUUGACAACUAAACUCCAGUAGAAAAAAGAAAAAGGUUAGUGGAGCAUAUUGAUAAAAUAAAAUUUCAAAUUAAACA